GACGAACGCUGGCGGCGUGCCUAACACAUGCAAGUCGAACGGAAAGGCCCUGCUUGCAGGGUACUCGAGUGGCGAACGGGUGAGUAACACGUGGGUGAUCUGCCCUGCACUUCGGGAUAAGCUUGGGAAACUGGGUCUAAUACCGGAUAGGAGCCAUCUUUAGUGUGGUGGUUGGAAAGUUUUUUCGGUGUAGGAUGAGCUCGCGGCCUAUCAGCUUGUUGGUGGGGUAAUGGCCUACCAAGGCGGCGACGGGUAGCCGGCCUGAGAGGGUGUACGGCCACAUUGGGACUGAGAUACGGCCCAGACUCCUACGGGAGGCAGCAGUGGGGAAUAUUGCACAAUGGGCGCAAGCCUGAUGCAGCGACGCCGCGUGGGGGAUGAAGGCCUUCGGGUUGUAAACUCCUUUCGCUAGGGACGAAGCUUUUUUGUGACGGUACCUAGAUAAGAAGCACCGGCUAACUACGUG
rnacentral:rRNA from 1 species